AUGAGAUCUCCCAGUCCAAGAAGGACUCUAAAGACCCCUGGAAGAUGACCAGGUCGAUAGGUCGGCGGUGUAAGGUUGGUAACAACCUCAGCCCACCGAUACUAAUCGGUCGUGCGGCUUGACCUUUAA
rnacentral:rRNA from 1 species